AAACAAAAUAAGCCAAUCAUAAUGUUUCACUCGGAUUGCUGAUGUGGCGAGAUCUCAGCCAUUCAUCGGAUCUAAUUUACUCAAUCCAAUCAAUAAGUAAUACUCAGAUACAUGACGUGGCGAGAUCUCAUCCUUUCAAUAGCUUUGGCGGCUGCAUGUUUAAGGUAAUCUCAUCCGUUCAUCGCCUAACUAAGUCUUUGGCGAGAACAAAAUUAACAUUUUCUCUUCAACCUCUCAUCCGUUCUUCACCAUUCAUUGCCAUCUCCGACUCGAAUCUGAGAGAACCAAAGAAGAAGAUGAAGAAGAAGAAUGGUGCCGUUGUUGAAAUCGAUCGUAGUCUUUUGAUUUGAUUAGAGAUCAUAAGCCCUAAUUUUCCGACAUACGUCUCUUCCGGUGUUUUCCAGCUCAUCUCACGGAAGAUUUAUCUCUCUUUGUGAAUUCCAGGUUCAUUCAAUUGUGAUAUGGUGUUUCUCUUAGGAUUUGGUGCAAAAGGGAGCGAGAAACAUAGCUUUUAGUAAAUCAACUAGCGAGGAUUUAACAAUCUGCAUCUUCUGUUAGAAUCGAUUAGGAUCUGAAGCUCCUUUAUCGUCUCCUCAGAGAGAAAGGUUAGCUUUACAAGAUAAUGGCGGAGGAAAGAUGCCAUUGAAGCCAAUUAUACAUUUUCAGACAUGGAGAGUUGGGAUCCUUGUCUUUCUUCUUGGGAAUUGCCUCAAUUUCAUUUCGUUUGGCUAUGCUGCUCAGGUCAAUGUGCAGAGUGAAGUUAACUCAGUCAUGGCGAGACUCGAUCGUCAUGUGAAAGAUGCUGAGGUUUUGAUUACAAGUGGUCUUCUUCAAGAUAACGGAAUCGUCGUUUUUCGAUUCUCGAUUUCGUCUAAGAAAGAAGCUAUUUUUUAUUUAUUUUGAGAAUGUAUUUUAGUUUUGGGAUUAAUUACUGUAUUUUUAUUUUGUAAUAUAAAUUCUUUUUAUCAA